rnacentral:rRNA from 1 species
AUUGAACGCUGGCGGCAGGCCUAACACAUGCAAGUCGGACGGUAGCACAGAGAGCUUGCUCUCGGGUGACGAGUGGCGGACGGGUGAGUAAUGUCUGGGGAUCUGCCCGAUAGAGGGGGAUAACCACUGGAAACGGUGGCUAAUACCGCAUAACGUCGCAAGACCAAAGAGGGGGACCUUCGGGCCUCUCACUACCGGAUGAACCCAGAUGGGAUUAGAUAGUAGGCGGGGUAACGGCCCACCUAGGCGACGAUCCCUAGCUGGUCUGAGAGGAUGACCAGCCACACUGGAACUGAGACACGGUCCAGACUCCUACGGGAGGCAGCAGUGGGGAAUAUUGCACAGUGGGCGCAAGCCUGAUGCAGCCAUGCCGCGUGUAUGAAGAAGGCCUUCGGGUUGUAAAGUACUUUCAGCGGGGAGGAAGGCGAUGUGGUUAAUAACCGCAUCGAUUGACGUUACCCGCAGAAGAAGCACCGGCUAACUCCGUGCCAGCAGCCGCGGUAA